UUCUCCUUCUCCUCACUCACUCCUGGUAGCUGCCCCCCCCUGACUACAGUCAUGGUCAAGGCUGCUGAGUGAGUCUGCUUGUUUACCGUCCUGAUGAUUUCUCCGGUUUCUGGAGCUCCAACUGUGUCUCCACAUGGGUCUGUACCUGACCUGUAACAGAGGAGACAGGAUUAAUGGAGGCCAUGAGCAACGGUUACUUGCUAACACGCUCACCUUCUCUGUCUCCAGGCAACUGAAAAGGUGAGUUGAAUGUGCAGCGCUGGGUUUGACUUGAUGGGAUUGUUUGAGAUGUUUAGGACGAAAGUUUAAAAUAGUUGAAGAAGAAGAAGAAGAAGAAGAAGAGCUGGGUGCAUAAAGAGAAUCCAGGUGGAUCACAUGCCCACAUUUUUAGGCUCAAAUGGAUGUAAAACUAUUUCCAUUUCCAUCUGUUUCUUUCUCUAAACCUUAAACUGUGGGAAAUAAAUCACAGAUUAGCGCGCCUUUCCUAGAAAUCGCUCAUUUUUAUCUUUUUUAGUUGCUCCUGUUCCUUUGAUCGCUCCGGCUACAGGCGCUUUCCAUCAGUCAGUCCCAUUUUGGUCUAAUCAGCUUCUCAGGAACACCUAGAGGGAACAUCUUUACAUUUGACUCAAGUCCAUCACCUCAGGGCGAGGAUAUUAGAUUAUGGAGGCCAAAGGUCAGGGUCAGAGUGACUCUACUUCUGUCCGUUUCUCUGUGAGCUAUGUGAGUUUCACUGCACCCCUUUUUUUUAUUCAUAGAGAAUCUGUGAUGUUUCUGCCAUCAUGAUACAUUCAUGACAAUCACAUGGUCUACAGAGACAGAGAGGGACAUCCAGAGGGAGAUAAACAGUUGUAAAGGGUUUAUUCUAGUUUUUACAUUUAUUUGAAAUCAUCUCUUGAGGCGAAGUUUAACUCUUUACUGUUUAAUGUUACAGGCAGGAGAAGGUUCAUCUGAACAUGACAUGCGUUGAUGUAUUGUUCAGUUAUGUGAAGGUUGUGUGGCUUUGAAGACUUAUGGGGCAUUCACAUUAAGCGUGAGUAAAAUUGUCUACUCACUUAAUUCACGUGAAUCUACACAAAUGAAUGAAUUUACUUGCUUCAUUCCAGCGUCAACGGUAAUUUCAACGGUAAUCCCUGUGAAUUCAACCGGGCGGGAUCAAGUGAUAGACACAGGUUUUCUACAAUUUACCAGGUAAUCCGACUUCCUCAUACACUUGCCUCCAGGCGAGCUCCUUUUUACUACGGUUUCGGUAAUCGAAAGAAAAGGUAUCAUGUAAUUCAGGGCACCCACACACCGACACGAUCAGUUUGUCUUCCAUUUUAGAUACCAUUGAACAACCGUCUGUUUUCAAACGUCACCCAGCAGCCUUCGUGCUUAUUAGUCAUCCCGACAUGAAUAUCCGCUGAAGUUGAGAUAGUUGCAGCGUCAUUCCCAUCACCAGAGUAGUAGGAGCGUCUAAUCGCGUCUUUAUAUUGACUUAACAUGUAAUUCAUUCACACAAAUGAUUUUACUCGUGCUUGGUGUGUGGAGACAGUUACUGUCCAGAAACGACCAACUCCAGCAGGGUGAGACCAGUUGUCUGGGCUGACCUGAUAUGAAGUAGGACUCUGUCUGUGCUCGUGAAAUCAUUGCCAUAGGGAGAGGUUAGGUCUACACCAACAUGAGGAGAUAGAUGUGUAUGUUUAUAUAUAUUUUAUGUCUGACCAAAGCAGCUAAAAUAACCAGAAUCUAUCUAUAGAGAGACCCGUUCAUACACACUGCAAUCAUAUUUCAUUUGAUCACUCAGCUGUAUGAGAGACCAGUAGACUUCAUUGGGCGUGAUUAUGCUUGUGGCAGUGAUUUGGUAACUACUGUUAGCUAGCUUGCCCACUACAAGUGUCAACAAAGCUUUACUUAGAGCCAGGAUUGGAGCAUAUCUAGCAGACAGACAGAGAAAACAGUCCAAGGCAGAUAUUUUGGUGCACUUAAGUUUUAUUUUGAUUUGGCCAAAAACUUCAGGGAUUUCUGUGUAAUUCUGUGUGUAAUGGCACAGUGUAUAUGGUGUAAAUCAUGCUGAUCUGGGCACGUGCCGCAAGUUUUCCAGUUUUGCUCAGUAUUUUGUUCCAAAUCAAGCAGCUGAUGCUUCGUUAUGACUUUGCCAAGACUCAUUUUAAUUACAGUUAUUUUCGGUGGUUGUUAUUCAGCGUCAGUUUUUCUGUCUUCAUACCUUUUGCCAGCAUUGCCAAGACAUUUUCAUUAAAUUCCCUCAUAGUUGGUCUUUUGACAGUCUUGAAAAUCUUUGGAGUACCCUGGGUUCACUAAAACUUUCUCAGUGCAGCUCUUUUUUUACACAGUUAUGUCUUUAUUAACACUUUAAAAGGUCAGCAGGACGAUGCUGUGAAACAGUUUUGAUCGAUAGAUCUGAGCUUUCCAGCGUCAAGUCUUACAGAUACAACAUAACUCUGUUUGACACCUACACAAGUGUUCAUUGUGUUUAGAAGAGGUAUUAUUCUUCGCUGCAGCUGAGUGUCGUUUGUCAGGAAAAGCUAAUAAAAGGAGAAUUGUCACUUCAGUUAUCAAAGAGGCAAAGUGAAAGAAACGUACUAUUGCAGCUUCUUUUUCAAGAGGUAAAAAAAAAAGGAUUUUCUUCCACUUUUACUAAACACCAAACAGACUCGACUUGUCUCUUCCUUUAGCAUGUUUUUGCGUUUGUUUCCAAAUUUUCUGAAAACCUUUUUAAUAUUUCUUAAUUCUCAGGUGUGAAUCUUUUCAAAGUUUUUAAAAAAUAAGAUUCAUAAUUCACCCUCUGCUGCUGUAACGACUUCAGUACAUGAGAGACAAACUCCCUGUUUUCCAUAAAUGCUAAUACGGCAGUAAAAAUUUGUGAUGAGUCUGGAAAUAUUCGGUUGACUCCGAGGUCAGGAAACAAACUCGGCGCACAAGACAUGGUGAAAUAAUAAUUAUAGAAAGCAAGCCUUGUUUGAGUUUGUGAGGCUGUCAGUCAGCAGCUGUGACAGCGAGGCAUUGUUUCAUCUUUAUCAAUUCACAACAGUCCUCCUUGUGAAUUAUUUUUGUUUUUUUUCUGAAAUAAUUACAACAGAAUAAGCCAAAAAAGAGGGAGAAAUCAUUUCAGAAGUAAUCAAACUCAUGAGCACUGCGUAAAACUAUUUUUAGGCUCCAUUAAAUAGGGUUACAAAACAAGCUCGUCCUGAGUCCAGCUCCCAAGGUUAUCCUCACUCAUGUAUCAGCCAAUCAAAUGUGCAAACUUGCAUAUGUAUGCUUCUUAAACUCCUCUCAAACUGAAGGAUUUGCAGAGCCUGACAGUCUCAAUUUAGGGCGAGAGUGACCCAUUUAAGAAAACUUUGAUAUUUUCAAAGAAAACGCAUGAAUAAAAGAGUUUAAAGCUCUAGUGUGGAUAACCGCUGAGUUUUUCUCUUCUCACUCACACAAAACAUUGUCCAUACAGCUGUGGGGAUCUUCAGCCUAUGUACACACACACACACACACAGAUCAAAUAGUUACAGUCAGUCACAGAGCGGGGACCAGCAUGACAUGAGCAAUUAUAAUCUUCCAAAAAUACAUCUCCCUCUUUACACAAUCCCUGUUCAAGCUAAUAGACUCUGUGGUCGAGGAUUUAUGUUCAAAUCGCUGGAGGAAAAGAAGCAAGAGAGGGGACAGUGAGCGAGCGAGCGAGAGAGAGAGAGAGAGAGAGGUUAAACUUAAACACGCCUGUUUAGUUUCUAAUCCUGAGGAAGCAGUCAUACAGUCUCUGUUUUACUGUCUUACGGUUACACUCAACUGCUUUGGUAACCAUCAAAUAACAGAAAUCUACACUUUGAGCAGGUAUUUGUUGUUUACACGCAAAAAAAGUCCAUCUCAUUGACCUCAUCUCUGUAUAUUUUUGGUUGAAGCCAGAUAUUGGGAAACAAAGACAAACUUAAAUGAUCCUCUGUUACUCUGACAAAAGAUUUUAAGAUCCUCCGUUAACAUAAAAAAUUGUGGGAACUUUCUCUCUGAAGAAAUGACUCAGUCACUGACAAUGAGCUGGUUUUCGUGGUCUGUUUUUAUUAUUGGGCUUUUUGCCCUUUUUUGGGAAAUGACUCUUCAGCGCUGAGAGCUUCGAAAUGUUUUAGAAAUGAGCUCAAGCAACCCGAGAUGAACUCCGUUCAAAAUAAAGAGUCAUUACGUGGUCACGGACAGUUAAACACAUCUAAUCGUACCUGUUGACUUUAAUCUGCCGUAAAUCAAUCUAACAUUAGUCUGUAGUCAUCCGUAAUAAUUCAUCAGUACGUGCUGUUGUUCGUCUCUGACUGUCUAACAUGAGUCUGGUUCUGCUCAGGGUUUCUGCCUGUUUGCUCUUCCUACUGUAACUUGCUAAAUCUUCCCCAGCGUUACACUCAUGGUAGAGAAAGAUCAGAUCAGGGUGGGUCUGAUCUUAAAAGUUGAGACUCUGCUUUAUCCCAUCUUGCUGUGUGGUCUUCUGAAGAGUUUGGUCUGGUCCAGGUUUUCUUGUAAAGCAUCAGAUGUUCACCAGUCUUCCCUGAGAUCUCAUAAACCACCUUUAAUUUCAGAAGAGUAAGCGAUACUCAUGCCUCAUCUGGUUGCCAGGUGAAAUAUUUCGGUGUAAAAAUGUAGAAAAUGAGGGAUUAAACAUUUUGCAAUAAGCUAUAAAGAGAGACGAGGUUUGAGACUGAGACGGGGCUCAUGAGGACAUGUGGAAGAGAAAGGAGCUCAAAGAUGACAAGAGAAUGAAAGAUGAAGAUUAGUGGCAAGAAAAGGAAAUUGCACCAUGUUUGUAUUUCUUUGUGUUAUGCAGUUAGAGCGCUCAUCGAUCAUCUCUUUGUUUUUAUUACGAGGAAUAAUGAAUCACCGCCUGGUUUUAAUUUGACGGCAGGUUUUGAAAUUAUGAAAUACCUCAGCCUCUUUAACUGGCAUUUAAUAUCAUCUCUCAUUCCUCCCCUGGCAACUUUAAACAAGGUGUUUGCAAUAAAACCAUCACAUUCAGUUUUAUUCCUCUCUUCAAAACCUCCUCACUGCCAUCAGACGUCUAUGGAUAGAGUUUUAAAAUUGAGCUAAACUGACAAUCUGAUGACACCAGCCCUUUUUACAUUUCCAGUUCAUGUAGUGAUAUUUACACUCCUCAAAACACUGCUGCACCACUAGUAUCACUACUCACUUGCUCUGCUGCCAUUGCCUGGAUUGCAGGACAGGACCUUCAUGCUGCUUUUACAUCUGCAACUACUAACUGUUGUCAAGACCAGCCUGAGACAAAAACUAACAUUUCGCCACAGUGUCAACAGGCUGCGGUGAAAUAAGCUCCUUUCUAUGGUUUAAUUUGUGAUCACAUACAGUGCCCAGCAUGAGUCAGUACACUCUCUAUUAAAAGUAAUGUAUUUCUCAAGAUCUAGAUGAGCAAAAGUACAAUUUCCAAAGUUUUGACAAAGCUGAGUUUGACAACAUUUUAUUAACCAUAAGAUGAAACUAAAGGUGAUAUAGUAACUAAAAUUUAGCUUUGCUCCCAGAACUUUGAUUGGAGUGUACUCAUUUUUGCAGGAUUUUAAAUUGCAAGAAAUACUUUUUUUGUAUGCAACUUAAAAGAUCUUGUUUGCAAUCAAUGGCCUUAAUUUGGGGGAGUAUUUUGCAGUAUCGUCUGACAUAGAAAAUGUUGAUUUCGAAAGGAAACUAAAGGUUUUCUGACAACUCUGAAGGGGUGUACUCAUUUAUGCUGCGCUCUGUAUGUGAUCAGGUUUGCCCCUGGCUAGCAGUCGCAGAUAAACUGAUAGUUUCCAUCCCUAAAACUGCCAUAAUGGAUCACGGAUCAGGGUCUAAUAAGGCCUUUAAAUGGGAUUUUACAAAUAUACAUGCAAUGAGAAAAAGAAGAAUUAGCUGAGGUUCAUUUUGACUAAAUUAAUAAACAACUAAAAUGGAAACUUAGUUAUUGGUGGACAUAGGGAGGCCAUAUUCUCAAACACAUUCACACUCAACCCUUUCUGCCAAUGUCAUUGUAAUGUCCCCCAAGGUCAUAUAGUUAACUCUGGUCUCUUUCUCCUCACUAUUUUGUCUCUUGCAUGGACAGAGCUAAGAUUAUACAUAUUUAUCCUCUGAUUCUGAGUUUCUACCUCAUUGUUGGUCACCCCGGAGUUAUCUAAGAGGAUUUUAGAUGGUCCUCAUGGCAUUUGUUCAGUGCUGCUGAUAGUCCAGGUGGCCGGCUUAGCUCUGGCCUGAUUCCGUUGAUUCGAGAUCGCUGGUGGUGCCAUAAGUUGAUCUUCUAGUGACUAAGUGCCAUGUGCUGGCAUGUAGACGUGGUGGACAGACUCUCUCCAAAAGCCUGUUUAUCCUCCGAAAGACUCGGAUAGAGCAGGAAGAAUAGAGGACACUCUCUCUUAUCGGGUCACGACUCUUCUUCAAACGUUACCCUCUUACUUCUCUCGACACCUAUCUUCUCUGUACACGUUUUUGUUUUUUCAUUAAGUCACUUUUCAAACAACGGUCACCAGCCGAGGUUAAAACUUUUCUCCUUUUUUUCUAGACAGUUGGAUCGCCUGUCUUAUAUCCAGCAUGUAUUAGGGUCACAUGACCAGCCAUGGUUUGGAGAGCGAUUGAGGGAUGAGAGGAAAAGUUAAACAUGGAUAAAGGAGUUUAAAAGGAUAAAGAGAGGGAGAGGAUAAGAAUUAGUUGUUGUUUUCUCCAUGGAUGAUGUGGUUUGUACUGAGUCUGUCAGUGUGUGUCUGUGCAUGUUUUGUGUUUUUGAGCGGCUGUAGAUGUUUCCUAAAGGUCACAAAAUGAUCAAUCCACGGGAAAACGUGUUUAAAACAACAUAUAUGUAGAGUAGAAUCUGGUUAGUGCAGUUAAGUGACAAAUUUAGUGGUUACACUGACCAGCACAGGCUACUUCUGUUCUGUUUGCUCAGAUGCUGCUGCCUCCUGACUUCAUCAGCUCAGUUGUUGGCCGUCUUCGCUGUCACACACUCGGCUGUCCUCCUUUGGCAGAUUUCUUAAAAUCACAGCAACCUCUCAGAAUCAUGAUCGCAGAGCCUUUAAUCACUCGUACUGUAGAGGGUUCGAACAGUAAACAAUUCGCAGUUAGCUUAUGGAAACAAAAGUAAACUUCAUUUUUCUAAAUUAACAUCUGUCAUUUUAAGAAAAGGAGGAAUAAUUACAGAGAUAUUCUUAAAGGGGAACUAUUCUGCUGAUUUGUAAUAUGUGUUGCAAUGUGGGGGUGCUUGAAAUGAGGUACACAGUCUUGUUUCUAGACAUGGCCAUAAUCUUACGACAUGUUAUGCUAUCAUACCAGGAUGAUACCAACAGACCAAGCCUACCUUGCAGCUCUGUCAAAGAAACACCUACCUGUUAGCUGGAAAGUCCAUUUCACUGCUUGGCCUUUUACUCCAAUCUCACAUUGUCUUCCAAUUAUGCCUUUACACUUCACCAAAUGUGUCAAAUCUAUCUUCCUCUCUCUAAUACAUUUCUAAUCUAACAUAUUUUUUCCUCCUCGUAGGAUAAUAAUAGAUGUGAUUAGCCUGAUGUCCGUGCUAAUUAAACGAGGAAGACUGCACUACAUGCACAGAGAGAUCUUGAGAGGUGUGAAGUAACAGCUGCAAGUAGUAAGUUUGUUUGUGUUUUACAUUAAUGUGACAAGACGAGCAGAUAUAAGUCUGAUCUGUUUUCUAUCUUCCAUCUCUCUGCGUAAACAGCGUGAUUGUAGGCCUGCUGUAGUUCUUUCAGUCUGAAACGUGAUCACAACAUGCACUUAUUAGAGUUAAUUAAAGCAGCUCUGUCAUGAAACUUAACCUGGAUCUGUGUGUUAGUGACUGAAUCAGAGGCUCCAGGUUGUUCUGCAGUCAUUUUUGCUCAUUCAAAGAUAAGCUAUUCAACUUUAACAUCAGUAAAAUCAGGCUAACCUCACAUUCUCUGUCCGUGAUCGCCCGCCCUGCUCUGCUGCUCAGUUUGUAUUUACAUAAAGAACUAAUACAGCCCUUACCCACUGUCUUUAAUAGUGUAUUAAUACUAUUUUUAAAGCCAAGUACUCAGCUCACAAUAAGCUACGAAUGAGGAAAUGAUUGCAAUACAUUUCAAAUAUAUUAAAAAAAAAAAAAAAAAAAAAAAAACAAUCAGAAAUAUUGAUUAUUUAUUGUUGUUUAUUGUUUAUUAGGAUCUACAUCAGCUUUUGUCAAGACAAAGCUAGUCUUCAUGGGGUCCAACACAGAAAAUAAAACAUUACAUAAACAUUCAUCCAUGAUUAUACAAUCACGUCAUCUACAAAGCAAAUAAUUAAAAAAGGUGAAAAAGGGUGUUACAAAGAAAUAACAGAAGGAAUCAAUUUGAAAUAAGGCAGGAUCAUAUACAAUACAUGAGUUUAGUGCCUCUGUGGAUUAGUACAGGCUUAAUCUCAUCAAGUGUUGUUUUAAGUUUGAGGAUAAGGAUAACCAGAUUUCUCUAUGUGCGUGUAAACAACGGAUCCAGAAUAUGAUCAAAACUGGGAUUAGGCUUGUAAACGGGAUAUUCAAAUUCAUGUAAACACCAAGAAUGAACCCAACCUCCAUGUUGAAGCUGAGGUACAUACCGAGCCGCACCUUAAAACAGAUGCAAGUUGAAGAUAAAUAAGGAGCUUUUUUGAGGAAUCAACAGGUCAGAAGUUUUUAGAGGUUCUCAUGGAUGUAGAAAAAAACGCUGACUCUGUAUUUAACGCUGGAAAUCCUUGGUCUCGUGGCCCCAGCUGUUUGGCGCUGCUGCUUCGUGCUCGGUUCUGAAAAUGAAGCUGAGCUGGAUCAGACCAAACCAAACAUGAAUCUGAUGGGAUCCUGGUGAAGGCUCAUUUAUACAGAUGGAGCUCUCUGUCCGUGCUUCACGUUCUUUUCCUCCGUAUUUCUGCAGGUAUCCUUGAAGUUUAUGGAUACGGACCAAAUGAAGCAGUACCACCGGAAACCGUGGGGGCGGUGUUGCUGCUGUCACUACCUGAUACACAUCUCUAGAGAGAAAGGAAGAAGACAAUGGUGGGGCUUUUUAAGGAUCGUCGUCAAUUUUUGUCAUCCGUACUUCUCGAGAAAAGAAUUCUCCGUCCUCUAACCGCAAGGCAUCUAGUGGCCUGACCAACCACCGUCUCCUCCAACACUGCCUCUGUUUCUGUCUCCUUUGCAAAAUUUACAUUAGCGUUAGCUCCUACACAGUCGCCAUUUUUCAUUUUGUUUGUCGUUGUCAGAAACUUUUGACUCCGGCCUGCCACCUGGUCAAUGGAAUGGAUCACAUCCAUGCCAACGUAAAGGGACGCAUGGAAGUGUGUGAGCAGUGACAGAACCAUUGCUUCAAACGAACGCGUACAUUUUCACACAUAUGGCGUGCAUAAAUGAGCCUUAAGACUGGUGCGAUCUGAUCAGUAAGAGGGACCGACUGCGAACCAAACCACACAUCUACCUCUACAUAUUCACCCUUAUGCUGCAGCCAGUUACCAAGAGGAGCUCAAAAGGUUCUGGCGUCUCUCAGGAUGGUUUCCACGAUUGUUUUCAAAUCUGAACUCUGACCUCUUUCUUCUUUUCCUUGAGGGAUGAGAUUUGAUCUCAGUAAGAAUAAUGAGAUCCCAUAUAAACCAGGUGUCAAUUCAAAGGCAGGAUUAGAUAGUUUACUGGGAUAACAACCGGGUACAGAUGGCAUUUUAAUACCAGGUUUUAAUGGGAUGUAACUCAGCUUGUGUUUGUUGAUGUUAUUUGGUCUUUUGUAUUAAAACCAAAAAUAGGACAAGGUGAAGCUCCGACGAUUUCAGUGUUUUUAUGAAAGAAGAAAGAGAGCAAAACACGGACUGCCCAAUUAAGAGGAAAAUAACAGCCUACAAUGUCCUUGUGUCCUUUUGUUAUUCUGUGAUUCACUGUGAGCUACCGGUUCAUAAACAGAGCCGUAUUAAUGAACAUGACCCAAAAAGAAAGCUGUUUUUUUUUUGUUUUCGAGAUUUACGCUGGAGUAUAUGAGAAGAAAAAAACAGCAGUUAUCAACUCUUUGUUCUGUAAUGCAGGAAUAAUAUCCUUUUAAUCAUUCUGUAGCCCGUUUGUACGGCCUUCAUAACACUGUGAUUCGUUGCAGAAAUAUAAACUAAAGUCGGUGUUGUAAGUUCUCGAUGUAAAGAGGGCUGGUGUGAAUGGUGAAACACUUCCUGUUAUAGUAUGACAUAAACAGGCAGUAAAUUAGGAAUAAAGUGGGACAAGACCCUGGUCAUGGGGAGAACUUUUUGGACCACUUCUUGCCCCAGAAUCACACGCUUGUGCACAAGUUUGCACCCGGACAUACACAACCACUCUGAUCACAUCAAGCUCACCCAUCUUGGAGGCCAAGCUAGUCUCCUGUCUUCUCCUCUGAGUCUUGAAGAGGAGCUGGAUGGUGGUCCUGAGGGGAGCGUUUCUCCUGCCUCUGCUGGAACUGCAUUCAGUUUUGACCUUUUUCAGGCCACAGAGCUGAGACAUGAAGAAGACCUAGAUGGUUUGAAUCUCCUCCUGAGCCUCUUCUCAGAUCCUUUUGGGGAUCUUCUUCCCUCACGGUCUCUGCCACUGAUCAUUGUCCCAGUUAGUUCUCCUAUACAGGGGUCAUCAUGCUCAGAGCUUGGUUGAGAAGAUCCAGCUGGAGCUUCUGCAGGUGAAGUUUGAUCUUCUCCGCCUCCUCACUUUGUGCAAACUGGCUCUUGUGGCUGGUGCUCUCAUCCUCAGUAGUGCAGGGUACAAUCUUUGGGAAGUUCUUUAGCAGCUUCGCACUGAGGUUGCUGAUGUUGGUUUUUGGGAUCCUAAACCUUCUUUUUUUGGACUAAUGUGCAUUUUUCUGGAGAUUCUUGAGCUGUCUAUCAGCUCUGAGGUGUCUCUGUCUUUGGUCUGUGUGCUCUGCUCCAACCACUUUACCUCCUGAGCUACUGCCACCUUGUUAUCAAAGUCCAAUACUGCAGUGAAACUUGACUGUAAUCGAGAGUUACAACUGCAGUUUUUUUACCACAUCCAUAUCAGCCUUAUUGCUCAAGACUAGAGGUUGCAUUUGGGAAUAACUGGUUCGAGUUAAAGCCCCUGUGAUUGGAUACUAUGACACCCCAUCGUCCAAUGAAUGAGUUGCUUAUUCUCCAUACAAGUGGAAAUUUGUGGAUGAACAAUCAAACCUGAAGGUCAAAAAUGGAUGAUUGAAUAAUUCACAGCAGUUGGCACAGCUACUAAGACAAAUCCUCAAGCUGAGUGGAUAUUGCAGUGCUGGAAGUCCCAGUGUCAACACCGAAAACCCGCCAUCUGCAGGAGACUGCAUGUGGGUGAGAACUGUGGCUGCUACUGAGCCAUGGCCGCCUAAUAUGACCGUCAUAUCUGCUGGUGGAGACACCUGGCUUGAUAGACAAGAAAAUAAACGAGCUGUUGUUGUACGACAAAGAUUUGUGCGUAUUUGUUGUAUCCCCGUCUCUCUCUUUCUGUCCGUUUGUUUGAAUAAGUGACAGAGAGAUCUGGACUAAACUGCUGCUUUGUUGGAACAUCCAAGUAUGACAAACAACAAAUAAGGGGAAAAAUAAUCAGUUUUCGAGGGACGAGCCGCGCCGUUGUGGAGAGAAAAGAUCAGGGCGUGUUUGAGGUGAGGUUGUCUUUUUUGUUGACACUCUUGAUGUGGAUCAGCUCUAAGCUCUGAAUGUGUGCUUUGGUUUGGAAAGACUGUGUGUUGAGGGGGUUCGGGUGAACUUUUGUAAAACCAGCAACAAAGCCUCUUCGCUUCAGCCAAACCACGUUUUACUGUGUGCUAUGAUGAAAGAAAAACUGGCAGUGGUUUGUCCUCAUGGAAACUGAUACAGAACUAAUCCACAGAGCCUGAAAGCAUUUGGAAAGGAGAGGACUCACUCCAUCGAGCUUUUUCAAUCCUGUUCAUCAGGACUCAACCACACACACACACACACACACAUAAAUACACCCAUGCACUCUCACAGCACACCGUCCCCAUGGAGAAACAUUUUACACUCCACAGUGGUGAGAGAAUUUCAAGCGUUAGACUUGUAACAAGCAUUUAAGAGCACUGAUGAUACUGAAAACUGUUUUUUUUUUAUAAUAGUCAACAGGGACUUAAUUAAUUUCCCAGAAUGUAGCGUCCAUCGCAGCUCUGCUUUGUGAGCCGGUCUGAAAUGCAAAUAAGCUAACAAGCAAAGUGUGACAUUAUUCUCUGUGUCAUUUCAUUUUAAGCUCUGCAGCAAUUGUGAUUUGUUCAUUAUUCACUUGAAAGAAUGUUGUAAUGUGAUAAAAGUCCAGCCAAAUUAUGGAGGAAAAACACGGCGGAGAGUCAAAGGAGCCUUUUACUUUUAUAUUUAUGACACUUUUUUUUACCUUUUUACAAUAAAAUACGCAACAUUGAGCAGAAAAAUAGCUUCAUAAACGCUUUGACAUGGUAUGUAAAUCCUACAUGAUUCUCAACACACCAUUACUGCCCUUUUAAUGCUGAUUAUAGCCUGUAACAUGUCAAACCUGGUGGAAAUGAAAGUGCUCACUCUGGUCUGAAAUGAGAGUUCUCCACCUUGCCCAGUUUUGUAUUUACGCCUUCACAUUUGUGAACAUCUCACAGGCUCUCAUCCCAAACACUCGGUCUUGACACACGAACAGAGCGGAGCAGGGACAGAGUCCAGCAGACAGAGGGAACGUAAACAGGCCUGACAGGUACAUUAACAACUACUAGUGCCAUACAAACUUGACCUCGUUUGGUUCAAUAUGUCACUCCACAGUCAGCUGCACUUCUGUGCAACAGUGAAAUAGGUACACUUGGGUAUGCAGGC